rnacentral:lncRNA from 1 species
AAUGAUGUCAUAAUGACCAGGGUCAGAAUGAUGAUUAAAGUUAUAUACUUUAUUAACAGGUCAUUCGGUUGUACUGUACUUGAAAUGUUAACAACAAAACCGCCAUGGUCUCAUUUAGAUUCUACGGCUGCUAUAUUUCACAUUGGUAUGCAUCCAACUAUACCCCAUUUGCCUGAUAACUCCUCUAAUUCGUGUAAAACAUUUGUAAAUGAUUGUUUUCAACGUGACCCAAAAUUACGACCAAAUGUAUUGCAGCUGAUGUCUUAUGAUUGGGUUAAAAGAUGUGGAUAAAAAGAAAUUCGCAAUUCAAUGAUGAAAUUUGUUUCAGCAAAAUUAUCAACUGAAUAGUAAUCAAUAACUUUUGCAAGUAAAUAUCGAUACGUUUUGCAAGUUAAUAUCGAUACUUAAGUAGUUAUCGAUACGUUUUACAAGUAAAUAUCAAUUCUUAAAUUGCUCGAUAAAAAUUAUUUUUUAAAAUUUUUAAAAUAGAUGUCUCUCGAAGAUAUUUUUUAAUGUAAUUGUAUGUAAUUACUAGGGAUAUGUAAUUACUUUUAUUAUUUUAAUUAUUAGGGAUAUGUAAUAAAGGGAUAUGUAAAGGGAUAAUGUAUAAUUA